rnacentral:tRNA from 1 species
CGGGAUGUAGCCAAGUUUGGUAAGGCACCUGCUUUGGGAGCAGGAGACUUCGCGCGUUCGAAUCGCGCCGUCCCGACCA